rnacentral:rRNA from 1 species
AGUGAACGCUGGCGGUAGGCCUAACACAUGCAAGUCGAACGGCAGCACAGUAAGAGCUUGCUCUUACGGGUGGCGAGUGGCGGACGGGUGAGGAAUACAUCGGACUCUACUUUUUCGUGGGGGAUAACGUAGGGAAACUUACGCUAAUACCGCAUACGACCUACGGGUGAAAGCAGGGGAUCUUCGGACCUUGCGCGAUUGAAUGAGCCGAUGUCGGAUUAGCUAGUUGGCGGGGUAAAGGCCCACCAAGGCGACGAUCCGUAGCUGGUCUGAGAGGAUGAUCGGCCACACUGGAAGUGAGACACGGUCCAGAGUCCUACGGGAGGCAGCAGUGGGGAAUAUGGGACAAUGGGCGCAAGCCUGAUCCAGCCAUACCGCGUGGGUGAAGAAGGCCUUCGGGUUGUAAAGCCCUUUUGUUGGGAAAGAAAAGCAGCAGGUUAAUACCCCGCUGUUCUGACGGUACCCAAAGAAUAAGCACCGGCUAACUUCGUG